AAUUAGUCGGUGCCGGAUGGUUCACCUUUAUAAAUACGCUGCAGUGAACAUCUUCAUAUGCACAUCCCUGUGUCCUCCCUGGGUAUUUCCAAGGCUAUUUUUAGUGUCCCCAGAGAGAGCCCCCUCUUUUGCCCCACCACUGUGUCCCCCAAGCCCUGCCCAGCAAAGACCCCAGGGCUCACCUUGGCUCAGUCUGCCCAGUGGAAGAUCCCCAGAGAUCUCCACAGAAUUUCUCCUCAACCCUGCUACGUCUUCAUUGGCAAAUACAUUCCUUCCCUUAGAGGGCAUUUAUUGAUCUUAGUUUGCCACUUCAGCCAGCCCUCCAGAAAGCAGUUACAAACAUUGUUCUAGACUUGGACGUUAAACCAGGGCAUGGGCAAGGAAGGUAAACCCAAUAUUUAAUCAAAGAAAAAAGGAAAAACACCUUAGUGGGGGCUCUCUGCGCAAGCAAUAAAUUCAUCUGAGUUCUUUCCUUUGCAAUAAAUUCAUCUGAGAAUGGUACUGGCUUAAGUCAUUUUUUAAAGCUCUUUCUCUUUAAAAAAACAAACGUGAAGGGACGUGUUUUAUGCCAUGAGAUAGCUGCAGAAGGUUUGUGCUUCGUUUUGCUCAGUAUUAAUCUCCACAUUCAAGUCAACGCUGCUGUGGCUGAGUCAGCGCCGUUCCUUUAAGUGACCUGAUUCUGUAAUUCCAUUAUUAAUAUUAUGAAAAUAGCUUUCCUCUACACUAUUUUGUGCUAUCGAUGGAAAACCACAGUUCCAAAAUGCAUUAGCCGUGGCCGGCUCCAGCAAGAUUAUUUGCAUCAAUAUAAACCGAGUUAAUCAUCGGCCAAUUUGAAUAAUCAGUCACGUGGCGCCCGCACCUGCCCGGGGCUCAGCCGCACCUCGCUGGGGGCCUCGCAUUUCAUUUGGGUCCCGCAUUCUGUUAAACACGGCAGAGUUUCCUGCUCGCUAUCCUGCAGCAUCUCGCCAUUUACUUCGCAAUUUUUCCUCUCCUUCCCUGACAGAGAGAGACACCCAGAGGAAAGACACACAGGGAAAAGAGGAGAUAGUCAUGGGAAGUCAGAGACAGAGACUGGAGUGAUGCAGCCAUAAGCCAAGGAACAUCUGGAGCCACCAGAAGCUGGAAGAGGCAAGAAAGGAUGCUCCCCUAGAGUGAUGGAGGGAGCGCAGCCCACUGACACCUUGACUUUGAACUUAAGACCUCCAGAGCUGUGAGAGAAGAUGCAAUCACCAACCACCUAGGACCAAACCACGCCCCACCACAAGAGCAGCACCUGCACAGAUGAGCGGAGAGAUGACCUCAAGUUGCCCUUUAUUUAACGUGCAGUGUACGCGGAAGCAUGUUUUCCAGUUGAGCCGGCACAAGCAAAUACCCACCUCUCCCUUUGAAUAUUCAUUCCCCACCCAAAAUAAAAGGCCCCUGCUGUCCCAUGCUUGGGGAGAGCCAUGACUUUGGAAAUGAUUCUGUGUGGUCUCCCAUUUGCUGCAAAUAAACUCUCCUUUGUGCGAUAACUACUUCUGGUGGAGAGUCUGAUUUUAACUCACCAGGAAGCAAACCCAAUUUGGUUCAGUAACACUUCCAAGUCUCAGUCUUCUGAUUUCUUGGCUAUAGUCUCCACUUAACUUGAUGAUUAUAAAUAGGCCUCCAGCCUAU
ensembl:lncRNA